rnacentral:lncRNA from 1 species
ACCGGCAGACAGGCGGACCGGGCGCUCGGCUGUCGCUGUUCUCCGCGCGGCGGCUGCGGGGCUUCUGACUUGGAGAACAAUGAAGCGUGAGCUGGAGGGGAGCGAGCGGGCCGCCGGGAGCGCACUGUGUACAAACAGAGGCGGCGUGCGUGUGAGUCUGAGCCUGGCAGGCGCGCUCCCCACUCCCCCGGCGCCCGCCCGCCCUCCGCCCGCCCUGUUAUUCACUCCCCGGGUCUCCCCCUCCUCUCUCUCUCUUUUGCUCUCUCUCUCUGUCUCUCUUUUGCUCUCUCUCUCCUUCCUCCCUCCUCCCCUCCUCUUUCAGCUCCUUCUGCUAUAAGAGAAAAGGGAGACAACUGCAGCCACACCCUAGCACCUAGCACCUGCCACCACCUCUGAAGUUCCUGCAUUGCCUGUACCUUCUCCGCACAUGCUGGAGACUGUGGGGUUAAGAGCUGCACCCUUGCUGCCUGAGAGUCCCUUGGAUUCCAGCACUGACUUUAUAAUUAACCACGUUAAGGAUUCCCCUGAACUUCCUUUCUCAGUAUAACCAGGAACAGAAGUUAAGAGAUUUUGAAAAGUGACUCUUGGGGCACAAAACUGCAUGAGAGACAGAACCCUGCAAAGUGAAUUGCCCCGUAUUUCUCAGGAACUGCAACGUAGUCAGCAACCAGACCCUAAUCAGCUAAGACAGGGCUGCUCUGCUGCUCUGUCUACAAUUUAGUUAGCUCCAGGGCUGGGGAGAGAGGGUUGUGGGCUCAUCUGUUCACGGGGGCAAAAGGGUGGAAGUGAGUAGGAGACAUGCAUCUCGUUAAGCAGGACAUCUGUUUCAGAGAAGAAGUGGGGCAAGUUUGGGAACUGUGCAAGAACAUAAAGGCAAAGACAGACCCUUGAAGCAUCACUAAGGUGGAUCAAAUUUUCUUUCUAUCCGCCAAAAUAAAUGGACUGGUUUUUGCAGUGGAAGUGAUUGAACCAAAAAUACAGCUCAUGGCUUACAAUUGUGCUUUCUUCUCUGUUUUUCGGUUAGAAUGAUUGCUUAUUGUACAUGGAUCCAAUUCCAGCAGUUACAGGUACCAAAAUGAAACAGGGCUUCUUUUUUCUUUUUUUUCUUUUUUUUUUCUUUUCCUUUUUUCUUUUCUUUUUUUUUUUUUUUUGUCUUCUAGAGAGGGAGGUAGGGAGAGAGACAAACACAGAGCUAGAGAAAUUGAAAGAGAAACAUUCUCGAAGGCAAAGAGUUGAAAGGUGAAUCUACUAAGAAAAGAAUAACAGAGUGCAAUUAGCCAUGGAACUACAUCUCCAUCUGCCUCCUUUAAAGGAUGAGUCCUUUAAAGAGCCUUUGGAAGGAAUUGGGCCAUGAGAAGAGCCCUCAUGAAUGGGAUUAGUUCCCUUAUAAGAAGAGACACCAAGGAAGUGAUCUUUCUCUGCCCUCUGCUAUGUGAAGACAAGGUCAUCUGCAGUUUUUUGUUGUUGUUGAUGAUCUUCCUGUCAUAGACAAUGCUGUAACAAACAGACUAUCCACAGGUUUUCUACUUUUUUGAGCUAAAUCGUGAUGAAGCAGAUGAUAAUCUGAGGCUCGCCUGCUAUAUUGUGAAAAUCCCUCUGUGCUUGUAAUAAAG